rnacentral:rRNA from 1 species
UGCAAGAGGCGAACCAGGGGAACUGAAACAUCUAAGUACCCUGAGGAAAAGAAAUCAACCGAGAUUCCCUUAGUAGUGGCGAGCGAACGGGGAUUAGCCCUUAAGCUUCAUUGAUUUUAGCGGAACGCUCUGGAAAGUGCGGCCAUAGUGGGUGAUAGCCCCGUACGCGAAAGGAUCUUUGAAGUGAAAUCGAGUAGGACGGAGCACGAGAAACUUUGUCUGAACAUGGGGGGACCAUCCUCCAAGGCUAAAUACUACUGACUGACCGAUAGUGAACCAGUACCGUGAGGGAAAGGCGAAAAGAACCCCGGAGAGGGGAGUGAAAUAGAACCUGAAACCGUAUGCGUACAAGCAGUGGGAGCCUACUUGUUAGGUGACUGCGUACCUUUUGUAUAAUGGGUCAGCGACUUAUAUUCAGUGGCAAGCUUAACCGUAUAGGGUAGGCGUAGCGAAAGCGAGUCUUAAUAGGGCGUUUAGUCGCUGGGUAUAGACCCGAAACCGGGCGAUCUAUCCAUGAGCAGGUUGAAGGUUAGGUAACACUGACUGGAGGACCGAACCCACUCCCGUUGAAAAGGUAGGGGAUGACUUGUGGAUCGGAGUGAAAGGCUAAUCAAGCUCGGAGAUAGCUGGUUCUCCUCGAAAGCUAUUUAGGUAGCGCCUCAUGUAUCACUCUGGGGGGUAGAGCACUGUUUCGGCUAGGGGGUCAUCCCGACUUACCAAACCGAUGCAAACUCCGAAUACCCAGAAGUGCCGAGCAUGGGAGACACACGGCGGGUGCUAACGUCCGUCGUGAAAAGGGAAACAACCCAGACCGCCAGCUAAGGUCCCAAAGUUGUGGUUAAGUGGUAAACGAUGUGGGAAGGCUUAGACAGCUAGGAGGUUGGCUUAGAAGCAGCCACCCUUUAAAGAAAGCGUAAUAGCUCACUAGUCGAGUCGGCCUGCGCGGAAGAUGUAACGGGGCUCAAACCACACACCGAAGCUGCGGGUGUCACGUAAGUGACGCGGUAGAGGAGCGUUCUGUAAGCCUGUGAAGGUGAGUUGAGAAGCUUGCUGGAGGUAUCAGAAGUGCGAAUGCUGACAUGAGUAACGACAAUGGGUGUGAAAAACACCCACGCCGAAAGACCAAGGGUUCCUGCGCAACGUUAAUCGACGCAGGGUUAGUCGGUUCCUAAGGCGAGGCUGAAAAGCGUAGUCGAUGGGAAACAGGUUAAUAUUCCUGUACUUCUGGUUACUGCGAUGGAGGGACGGAGAAGGCUAGGCCAGCUUGGCGUUGGUUGUCCAAGUUUAAGGUGGUAGGCUGAAAUCUUAGGUAAAUCCGGGGUUUCAAGGCCGAGAGCUGAUGACGAGUCGUCUUUUAGAUGACGAAGUGGUUGAUGCCAUGCUUCCAAGAAAAGCUUCUAAGCUUCAGGUAACCAGGAACCGUACCCCAAACCGACACAGGUGGUCGGGUAGAGAAUACCAAGGCGCUUGAGAGAACUCGGGUGAAGGAACUAGGCAAAAUGGCACCGUAACUUCGGGAGAAGGUGCGCCGGCUAGGGUGAAGGAUUUACUCCGUAAGCUCUGGCUGGUCGAAGAUACCAGGCCGCUGCGACUGUUUAUUAAAAACACAGCACUCUGCAAACACGAAAGUGGACGUAUAGGGUGUGACGCCUGCCCGGUGCCGGAAGGUUAAUUGAUGGGGUUAGCGCAAGCGAAGCUCUUGAUCGAAGCCCCGGUAAACGGCGGCCGUAACUAUAACGGUCCUAAGGUAGCGAAAUUCCUUGUCGGGUAAGUUCCGACCUGCACGAAUGGCGUAACGAUGGCGGCGCUGUCUCCACCCGAGACUCAGUGAAAUUGAAAUCGCUGUGAAGAUGCAGUGUAUCCGCGGCUAGACGGAAAGACCCCGUGAACCUUUACUGUAGCUUUGCACUGGACUUUGAGCCUGCUUGUGUAGGAUAGGUGGGAGGCUUUGAAGCGUGGACGCCAGUUCGCGUGGAGCCAUCCUUGAAAUACCACCCUGGCAUGCUUGAGGUUCUAACUCUGGUCCGUGAUCCGGAUCGAGGACAGUGUAUGGUGGGCAGUUUGACUGGGGCGGUCUCCUCCUAAAGAGUAACGGAGGAGUACGAAGGUGCGCUCAGACCGGUCGGAAAUCGGUCGCAGAGUAUAAAGGCAAAAGCGCGCUUGACUGCGAGACAGACACGUCGAGCAGGUACGAAAGUAGGUCUUAGUGAUCCGGUGGUUCUGUAUGGAAGGGCCAUCGCUCAACGGAUAAAAGGUACUCCGGGGAUAACAGGCUGAUACCGCCCAAGAGUUCAUAUCGACGGCGGUGUUUGGCACCUCGAUGUCGGCUCAUCACAUCCUGGGGCUGAAGCCGGUCCCAAGGGUAUGGCUGUUCGCCAUUUAAAGUGGUACGCGAGCUGGGUUUAGAACGUCGUGAGACAGUUCGGUCCCUAUCUGCCGUGGACGUUUGAGAUUUGAGAGGGGCUGCUCCUAGUACGAGAGGACCGGAGUGGACGAACCUCUGGUGUUCCGGUUGUCACGCCAGUGGCAUUGCCGGGUAGCUAUGUUCGGAAAAGAUAACCGCUGAAAGCAUCUAAGCGGGAAACUUGCCUCAAGAUGAGAUCUCACUGGGAACUUGAUUCCCCUGAAGGGCCGUCGAAGACUACGACGUUGAUAGGCUGGGUGUGUAAGCGUUGU